rnacentral:ncRNA from 1 species
UUAAUAGAGAAAAGACAAUGAAUGCAAUGAUGAACAAUACAUAUUGGUGGUGGCGUCCGUUACAACUCAAAAAGUCGUAAGGGAGCAGCGCUCGUAUGUAUUCAUCAGAUAUCUCCUGGGAAUGAGCCCUGUC